rnacentral:lncRNA from 1 species
CUGGCAGGACAAAGGACCCCCCCCCCCGCCAAGAAUGCCCUUGGCUUGAUACUCAAGGCAGGACGGCAGCUCAGCCCUGGGACAACAAACCUAUGCAGGUUUGCCAAAAAGUGGCGUCCCUGGCAGGCAGGCCCCUUCAUGUGUGAACGCAAGGAUGGCGCACAAUCAGUCUUCAUCGGACAAAGAGACACGAGGUCACACGGCGUGGCAAUGGACGGCGGCCACGGUGCGGGAACAAAGCUGCUCUUCCCUUAUUUGCCACAUGGAUGCCUCAGGCGGGGCCAGCGGUGGAGGGAGGGAGGGUUGGGGUGGCGAGGGGAAAAAGCGCUGAGGGCGGGUGGGAGCUUCCCUGCCCUGCUUCAACCGAAACUCUCCCCCCCCACCUACCACAGGUGAAAAGGAGGGGGGGUUUCUAUGACUCCAGCAGCUCACCAUCAAACCCUAAGGGGCGGGCGCCACACAGGGAAAGCGGAGGGAGGGGGAAGGGAGGGGUCUCUCUCUCUCUCUCUCUCUCUUUGAUAUGGAUCGGACAGGCAGGGCGCGAUGUCUCGUGGCUCGAAGCGCUUCCCCGCCUCGGGGUCGGCGAGAAGCCUUGCUCGUGAGCAAGCACGCUGGCUACGAACUGAUAUCCGCGGCGCCCCUUUGUUGGUGGCCCCCAAACCAAUGCAUUCUGUAUCCUGCUGCUUCGCUGGGCCGGGUUUUAACUGGUGAUUCCGAACUGGGGGCAAUAAUUAACACUUCAGUUACAAUAUUAUUAAGAGUGGAAAGACGAGUAACGAGAAGAAAGAUCCCAGAGGCUACAUCCAUACAACAGCUACAACCUUCUAUAAGCAAUGAAGAAGAAAAAACAGAAGCUUUAAAAUAUAUGAGCACCUGACAAGAUACCUUCUCAGGUGACUCUAGUUUGGAAUUGGGAGGGAUUACAUAUGAGGAAGCUAUAUGUGUACAUAUAUAUAUAUAUAUAGAGAGAGAGAGAGAGAGAGAGAGAGACCGACCGACCACGUGUGAGCGAUGUGUAACUAAUUUAAAGCAUUAAUGAUGUAUGUGUC